rnacentral:lncRNA from 1 species
UUUGGUUUUAAGGAAUACAUUGUUUGAUCCCUAUCUUCAUUAGCUACAAUAUGCGGAUGAUCCCUUCCCAUUAUGAUAACAUCAACAUAGUGACUCGUGAGUAGUCUAGUCUUUAUUCUUUUCCUCUUCUUCUACAGUUUCAUUCCACUGAUUAUCAUUAGCAGCAACUGCAGCUUCAGUUGAUGCCGAGGAGAUAGACGGAGUUCAGAUGAGCACCAGUUCUCCAAGGAUAUAGCAAAAAACUUGUUGCUAUACAUGGCCAGAUAAGAAAAGGAUUGGCAGAGAAUUCACUGCCAUAAAAAGUUUCCUUCUCUAACAUCUCCUCCAGGUUUUCAAAUCAGAAACAGUCACACGGUCAUGAAAGAUCACUUGGUAGCACCUUUGAAUAAUUACAACUUAAGUUGGUCAUUUUAUCCAACAAUUAUAGACGGAUUCAACGUUGAACCUGAAGCUCUAAGCUAGACUAACUGUUCACAAGCUUCCGCCCCCUGUUCAGUCACUAUCAAGAUAACACUGGUUAACUUCUGAGUUUUUAAUUUUUAAUCAAAUUAAGUUGAAUUAUUGUUUAAGAUCAAUGACAUCUAUGCUGGCAGUAUCUCUCUUCAAAGCCCAAUUACAUUCCUC